UACGGAGGGUGCAAGCGUUGUCCGGAUUUAUUGGGCUUAAAGGGUGCGUAGGCGGUUAAGUAAGUAGGGUGUGAAAGCCCACAGCUCAACUGUGGAACUGCCAUUGAUACUGGUUAUCUUGAGUAUAGUUGAGGCAGGCGGAAUUUACGAUGUAGCGGUGAAAUGCAUAGAUAUCGUAAAGAACACCUAUAGCGAAGGCAGCUUGCUAAACUAUAACUGACGCUGAGGCACGAAAGCAUGGGUAGCGAACAGG
rnacentral:misc_RNA from 1 species